UGUACUGGUAAUUAUAUGUAGGAGGAACCAUUUUUAUUCGAUCUACUGAUUUGUAUAUUAACGUCGAUUUACUUUAAUCAUUAAUCAUUUCAAAAUGAAAUUCUUUGCAAUUGCAUUAUUUUUCUUCAUACUUGUCGCGGCAAGUUUUGCAAUCCCUGCUGGGCUAUUCGAGCUCGAACCAGAAGAAGAUGGUUUUUCGCCGAGACAACGACAAUAUUUGCCACCCUACUGUGGCUGGAGGGGUGAAUCUUGUCAUUAAAAAUUUCACCAAGAAAAAAUAACGGUAUCAAAAAAAUAAAGCACUUAUAAAACGUC